UACGUAGGGUGCAAGCGUUGUCCGGAAUUAUUGGGCGUAAAGAGCUCGUAGGCGGUCUGUCGCGUCGGCUGUGAAAACCCGGAGCUCAACUCCGGGCCUGCAGUCGAUACGGGCAGACUGGAGUUCGGCAGGGGAGACUGGAAUUCCUGGUGUAGCGGUGAAAUGCGCAGAUAUCAGGAGGAAUACCGAUGGCGAAGGCAGGUCUCUGGGCUGACACUGACGCUCAUGCACGAAAGCGUGGGGAGCAAACAGG
rnacentral:rRNA from 1 species